UGCAGAGUGUACAAUGUGCUGCCAGAGAGCCAGCAGGCAGCGUACAGAGAAACAGCCACACAGGGAGGAACAGGAGGAGAAAACCAGAACUGACUACAAGUGGGAUCCCUGAAGCCACCACUGCCGAGCUGAUCGGGAUCCUUCAGCCCACACAGUCAGGAUGGGCUGUACAACAGGCCAUCUGGCUUGUCAACCUCAAUCCCAGACCAACCCGGGGCAGGAGGGUCAGUCCCUUGAGACAGGAGGUGCUAAAGUCCCCGAGGUGCUCUCCUCUCUGGAGCGUCUGUCUCAGGCUACUGGCGGCAUGGAGAAGUCCUGGUACCGCUGCAUCUUUCCCUUUGGAAUCAUUUCUUUGGUUAUCGGAGCAGCAGGAACCGGGGUUACCUACACCUAUAACGACCUUCCACAGACUAAAGUAGUUUCAGUCGUACUGCUAGUCAUGGGAGUUUUUUUGCUGCUGAUGGCGACCGCUUGUUGGACUGUCCACAAGAAGAAGAGAAGAAAAAAGAAAGAGGCAGGCUCAUUCACUUCAGAGCAGUGUCCUCUGUGAAGCAUAAGGGGAAAGGAGUUCUAGAAACUCAAAUACAAACGUGGUCCGAACUGGGAGCACAAGGUUUAACAAAAGCAAUUGCUUCACCUUCUCCCAAGCCCAAAAUCCUCACUAUUCUUUAUCAUAAAGUUUGGCAAGCUAUAAUAUAGAUAGCUUGGGUCAAAUAACCAUAGAGAGUGGAAGGAUGUAUAGACAGGACUUUGAAGAUCUGCUUAGUCUAUAUGGUCUGGACCAGAUUUUUCAGGAUUGGCAACGAGGGAUCAUCGAUGCUUCACACACUCGUUUAACGUCAGACAGCAGGUGUCCGGUGUCAAAACAACCUCAGAGGAGACACACACAAAUAUGCACCGCAUACUGCAUGCAUAUUUUCACGCAUGGAUAGAUCCUCGUAGUCCUCCCUGACAUAUGCACGGGGCGGUUACAGUGGGAGCUCAGACAGACACCCAACACCCGAUGCAGAGCUGCUGUUGGAGUCAAUGCUGGCGUCACUGGGCACGUCAGUCACAGCAUUCCUCUGACCAGGACAGGUGACUCCAAGAGGCCAGAAGUGGGCCAAAGACGGCAACCCGAUACCCAGCUGAAAGAGCAGCGGACCCGCGUCAGUGGCCAACGUCAUUCACUCGUCCUGUGACACUGCAGCAAUGUGUUGGGGGCUUUUUUUACGCAAUGGGAGAGUGGAACUUGAGUCCAGCUGGAUCUUGCUGGCAUCUGUGCGGACGAUAAACUGGAGAGGGCAGAGGACUUGCUGGGAAAGUGCAGAGUGUUUGUGCGCGCUCAAAUCACGAUUCAGGUGAACGGAGAGACUUUUGGAACAUGGACUUUACCACUAAGGAACAAAAGAUUUGCACAUAUGGCCUUGUCCAUACCAAGACGUAAAGCUAUCAGUGUACUCUGAAAGGCCUUUUGUAGCUUCAGCUUCACAUAAGAAAAUAGUGAAACUCUGUCAUUCUGAUUAUGAGAUUGCCUUCCUGCCAACAUGGGAGUAUUUACACCCAGCCGAGUGUCUACGUUGAGCACCUUAACUCCACACAGGACAGGAUCACUGAAGGAUAGAGACAUGCCUCUGCAGGGGACACUUUGGCUGAUCCUACUCCCCGACGGCCCCUCCCGCCGUGUGCCUUGAGCAAGCACUCAUGGAAAAAAGCUCUGUCACAUUCCCCGGUUUCCAUCUGAACUCCUGAGAAUCUCCCCUUUGCACUUACACUCUCUUUAUCCAAUAAGGACUCCUCAAAUCUACAAAACAUCCCGUUUAUCCUACAUGUUCACUUUCCUACUUGCUCAGUCAGUUUCCUCUCAUGAUAUAUCCCAAGAGGUGCGUCGACAGUCUUUUUGACACACAAAUUAUUACAAAUACGUCUAAAUAUGACACUCAUGCUUAUAUAAUUUUCAUCAGGCUGUGCCAAAGAAGUUGGAUUACUUAUCUCCAGUCAAGGGAAGGAAAUUAAUUAAGAGUGAGUUUUCAGUCCCUUCAUCAGUCUUGAAAUACAGGGUACAAUCUUGUUCAAAGGAGACUGACUAAUGUUUGGGCUUCAAAGGGUUAUGGGGUUUUCCUUUUAGACACUUUCCUGGAGAGCGACUGAAUGUAGCUUCACAUCUGUGAAUAGGUGAUUUCUGCUGGUGUGUGGUCUUGCGGGAUGAGAUACACAGUUACAUUUUCUUUUUGUCUUAAGCAGUUCUUUCAUAUAGCUGAACAAACAUGAGAUACAAACAUGUCCAUAGAAGCACAGUAGAAACGUACAGACCAUAUAGAAGCAGAAAGGAGUGUAUCCGUUCUCCAGAGGAAGGUCUCUAUACUCGCCCUUCUUUACCCUUGAGAGCCAGUAUUGAUCAUGGACACAUGAUCCUGGCCGGCAGUUUAGCAAUGCACGUUGGGGGAAAUGUGUCUGUAGGAAAGAGGGGGCAGCCCUGACUUUCUGACUGACUGAUUGCCUUUUUGUCAGUGUGCCACAAUGCCAAAGAGCUUGUUGAAGGCCAGCUUCCCAGAUGCAUUGCUGUGUUUAUCUGCCCGGUUCCAUGGACACACAUUAGGUAACGUCACCGUCUGAGCAUACGUUAUUUAAGAUGUCACUUUGCUUUCCGAUUGUCAGUCAGGUAAUUGUCAGGUAAUUGUGAGGGAUAAAAGUAGAGCCUGGGUAAUCAUUACUCUUACUUUCAUGCGGGGAUAAGGAGGUUCCCCUGUUGUUAGAUUGCACUCAGCUGUCCCUAACAGAAAAGCAUGAUUGCAGGGACUUAAUCCAUUAAUGCAAGAGGCAGUGCGGAGUCUUUUACGUCUUCUCUGUGUCUUUACCUUGUGAAAAAAUGACAACUAACAUAAAUGAGUGACUUGUCCGGGAUGUAUCAUAACUUUCGCUCACUGUCAGCUGUGAUAAUCUCCAAUGAAUGUAAGGCUAGAACAACAUAGAUGCGCAUACAUAACACCUGCGUGCAAAGGGGGUCACAUCAUCAUAAUACCUUUCAGCGUGAACAUCAAAGGAAACACAAGUAUUUCUAAUGUGUCAUUGAAAUUGUAGCAGAGCGAAGCUGUUGAAUUUCAAGACAUAAUACGUAUAGUAGAUGACGUUGAUGUAGCACGCUGUCUGCCGUCACUGUCCGUUUGCUAUCUUCAGAUCUGGGUUAGAGGUAGAUACGUUUCCAUCAUGAGGAGUGUGUGACAUUCAAGUACUGAAGUGAGCCAUCCUCAUAAAUGUUUCUGUUUAAUUAUUUACAAGGAAAUGAUCAGUGCAGUGGUUAGGAAAGUAGGCAGGAGAGCUGUGGAUACGAAAGCCUUUUGCUGCGGAUGGCACAGAACGUGAGAAAGAGUGAUGAAUAUUUUUAUUUUAGAUGAAAAACAAGAAUAAAAAAAAGCAAGUCAAAGGAAGUGCAUCCACUUCUAUUCUUCCUUUGGCUUGUGUAUCAGUGCAGAUUUCAUGUGUAUAGUACACAGUGAUUACGUUGUUCGUUUUAGUUGCUUUGAUGUACUCACAAUUCUUUAAGCUACAUUGUGCCAGUAUGCUGACACUAGAAUAUCAUAGAAAGUGACCAGAAAUUGUAAUUUUUAUCUUUUAGAUGUGAAGUGAUUUCCCCUCUGCCUUCUGAAUAAAAGAAAAGGGAAAAUCUACCUCUCCUUGCUGCGGGGAAUUAAUGUCCCUCUCCCAGAAGACAGUCACGCUGUCUGACUAUGCUGUUUGUCACUCCAGUGAGUGGCG